GCUGGGUCCCGGGCCGGGCGGGGCUCUAGGGCAACUUUUUGGUUGGUUGCCGCCGGGUGCUGAUCGCCCAGGCCCCUUUUAAACUGGGUGUCUCCCUGUCUCUCUCCCCUUUCUGCCUCCGCGCGUGACUCGGCUGACAAGAUGCUGACAAGCUUAAGGUAUGGACCUAAUGGAGAAAAUCUGGCCUGAGUUAUUAGUUGGAUAGAAUUCUUGGCCAAGGAUGAGAACCCUAAUCUGAUUGGAUACCCUCUGCUCUGAUGGGUUAAAGG
rnacentral:lncRNA from 1 species